CACAAGGGAGACUAGUGUUAUUCAUCUUUAUUAGGUUUAAAGGGUACCUAGACGGUAUAUCAAGCCCCAAAAGGGAACGGAUAUACUAGAGUUUUAUGUGAGAGGCAAAUAUAGUACUAUUGGUGUAGAGAUAAAAUUCAUUGGUACCUCUAGGCACGGGUAACGGCGAAGGCGAUCCUCUAUGUAAAAACUGACGUUGAGGGACGAAGGCUUGGGGAGCGAAUAGG
rnacentral:rRNA from 1 species